rnacentral:rRNA from 1 species
GAGAGGUGCUGCAUGGCUGUCGUCAGCUCGUGUUGUGAAAUGUUGGGCUAAGUCUCGCAACGAGCGCAACCCCUAUCGUCUGUUGCCAGCAUUAAAUUGGGCACUCUGACGAGACUGCCUGGGUUAACCAGGAGGAAGGUGGGGAUGACGUCAAGUCCUCAUGGCCCAUAUGUCUAGGGCUACACACGUAAUACAAUGGCGCGUACAAAGGGAAGCGAACUCGCAAGGGGGAGCAAAUCUCAAAAAGCGCGUCUCAGUCCGGAUUGGAGUCUGCAACUCGACUCCAUGAAGUUGGAAUCGCUAGUG